GGAGCAUGUAUCCACAAAUAACAGGACAGGCUCCUUAUCUGAAGGUCACUUAGUGACAGAAGGAUCUAGAACCAGCCUACAGUCCCAGGUGGAAGGUAAACUGAGUGCCAUCUUGGAUCCAGCUCUACCCUGUGGGUCACUGGGUAUGUACCCAUAUCGCUUGGGCCUAAGUUUGCAGGAGGAGGGGAAAGGGACGUACUAGUUGUUAUCCCUGGGCCUAAAGUGGCCCUGACUGAGGGUCUCGGCCACUGCCUGAGAUCAACAGGGAUGCCACAGCCUAUGAGGAAAUAAAGGGGCAGAACCUUCCCAGAAAUCAGCCUUGGGCAUCCCUGGGGAUCAUCGCAGCUUUCUUGGCUUCUCUGCCCCUUCCUGGCUAUGAGGCCUGGCUGUAGCUUCUGCAUCCACUGGGAGACCGUGAGGACAGCCAGUACCCCUCGUCCUCGCCGACUGAUCCCACCACCUCUGUCAUCAGGACCAGCAAUUUUAAGGCUUUUUCUGAACAGCUACCAUCCAUUGUCCUGGUUCACACAUACCCUACAGUUGCCCAUGACAUCACCACUAGAUCCCUGCCUUGAAGGCCCUAGAUCUGGACUUAAAUCUACUCCCCUCCAAGUCCCAGGCCACCUGAAGUACAAUCCCGGGAGAUGACAUUGAAAAACAGAGCUGUUCUAGGAAGCUGUGGGAGUCAUUAGGAGAUGACAGGCAGGACCACUAGGUAAUUGGAUACCUGGGGCCCACUUCUGACACAGGCCACCCAUGGCCUGAAGCUUAGCUCCCAGCUUUCUUCAGAGAGGCUUCCAGCCACCUUCUUCCUCCCGCAGACCUCGCCCAGGUCCUCAAAGUUAAUUAUUCCCAGACAGAAAAUUACUUCUAACUCUGAAAAAAGGAGUGAUUUGGGAAGGCAGAUAUCUAAUUACUGGCCUUCUCUGCAUGUCUCAGGGAGGCAAGCGAGAGUUUCCUGGGCCUGGGAAUGCAAUUACGGGGAACAUUAGAGCUGCUGUGGUCAGUACCUACGUCAGCGCUCAGCCAACUCCUGGCAGGAACUGAGCCCUGGUGGCCAACAGCCUAGGAGUCAGAGACCGGCUCCUGUGAUUUGCAAGGGGUGCUCAGCAGACUGUGGGGUUCAUGUGUGACCUGAUGCCCUGUCCCAGUAGCAAGCUGAAUGGCAUACACCAAAACUCACAGAUACUCCAAGCUUCAGUCUCCUGACUCCGUUUGGAACCAAGGUCUUAGCAAAGAAGACCAGGCAGUGUUUGGUGGCUGUGAGUAGACGAGUGGGGUCCUCGUGUGAGGAAGAGAGGAUACUGAGACAAUGUGUGGCAUCAGCAAUGGUUUGGAGUGGCCCAGGGCCAGGAGGAACUGCAGGUUCCUGGAGCCUUCAGAGACUACCUGUGGCACCAUGUGCUUGGAUUUUGUAGCAGGCAGAGUCGUGGGAAUACGGUUUCGUUAAGCCCCUUAGGAGCCUGGAUCUGGGGAUCUGCUUGCUCUGUAGCCUGGGGAGACUGUAUCCAAAGGCUCACCAGUGAGGGUGCUCCUAGGCACGUGCUUGGUUCUCUCCCUGCUGUAACCAAUAGCUCUUCCCUGCCUUUGCCAAGUGAGGUUGCCUACUCCCCAAAUCCCACAGCUUGCUGAGAAACUCACAGCCUUCAGCCCAGGCCCAGCACCACGAGGUCCAUUCUGUGCCUCCUGCAGCCAGUGGCCUCCAGCUCCACACUCUCAGUUCUCAAGACCACUUCUCACCCCACUCCACCUACCGAGCUGCUUGGCCCACCAGCACCAGCCACCCCACAGCAAAACUCAGAGCUGGCACUUUCAAUGGGCAGGCCCUGAGGAUGCCCAGCGAGCAGGUCAUGGGAGAAGGAGGAUGGUAAGUUCUAGGGAGAAGUGUAGUCUCCAAAUGAACUGUCUCAGUCAGGGUUUCUAUUGCUGUCACAAAACACCAUGACCAAAAAGGAAGUUGGGGAGGAAAGGGUUUAUUCGGCUUACACUUCUAUAUUGCUGUUCAUCACUGAAGGAAGUCAGGGCAGGAAUUCAAACAGGGCAGGAUCCUGGAGGCAGAAGCGGAUGCAGAGGCCCGUAAGCAGUGUUGCUUAAUGGCUUGCUCAGCCUGCUUUCCCAUAGAAUCCAGGACCACCAGCCCAAGGAUAGCCCCACCCAUCAUGGGUUGGGCCCUCCCCC
rnacentral:lncRNA from 1 species